AUUGAACGCUGGCGGCAGGCCUAACACAUGCAAGUCGAACGAGUGGCGGACGGGUGAGUAAUGUCUGGGACACUGCCUGAUGGAGGGGGAUAACUACUGGAAACGGUAGCUAAUACCGCAUACCAUCGGAUGUGCCCAUAGGGGAUUAUCUAGUCGGUGUGGGAAAGGCUCACCUAGGCGACGAUCCCUAGCUGGUAUGAGAGGAUGACCAGCCACACUGGAACUGAGACACGGUCCAGACUCCGACGGGAGUCAGCAGUGGGGAAUAGUGCACGAUGGGGGCAAGCCUGAUGCAGCCGUGCCGCGUGUGUGAAGAAGGCCGUCGGGUUGUAAAGUACUUUCAGCGGGGAGGCGUUACCCGCAGAAGAAGCACCGGCUAACUCCGUGCCAGCAGCCGCGGUAAUUC
rnacentral:rRNA from 1 species